GAAAACUUCCUUCAUGAGCUUGAAUCUUGAUCAAUCCUUUUUGUUUAUCAAUCUUAGACUUGUAGAGAAGUUUGUCAUCAUCAAAACAUUUGAGAAGUCGUGUCUUCACAAUCUCCCCCUUUUUGAUGAUGACAACCCAAAAAAAAUGAAAGUUCAAUCCAAGCAUGUUUCUCUAGCAAAUGGCCCCCCUUAAUUGAUACUCCCCCUUAAUUUAUGAUUUAAGGAGUCUUUUGAAAUCUGCAUUUUGUUAGAGAGAAACAGAAAACAAAGAAUAACACAAUAACAAUCUCUUCUCCCCCUUUGUCAUUAAUAAAAAGGGUGAAAUAAGUAACAAUAUGCAAACAACAUACGUCAAGCACCACAUAACACCAGAAUGAAACAAAAGAUAAUACAAACAUAAUAUAAACCAAACUUAGUACGGAAUGGAAAGACGGAUAAAACAUAAAAAACAAGAAAAAACACUUAAGACCAAAUGUACUCUUUAUGACAAAAACUCACGUGUGUUAAAAUUCUUUUAAAAAAUUCUGGAAGAAACAGUGGUAAUCGAUUACUCUAAAAAGGGUAAUUGGUUACAUAAAUGAAAAACGCGUGAGGAAGGCAAAAACAGGCAGGGUAAUCGAUUACCCAAUUUGGAGUAACCGAUUACUCUAAGAAAAAAGUGAAAAAACAGUAGCUUUGCACAGCCCAAAAUAUGAAGGAUUUUCAAAAAAAAAUUAAGUUUGACAAG
rnacentral:lncRNA from 1 species